AUUUUUAUUUUACCAUUUUAUAAUUUUAAAAAAUAUAUAUAUUUAAUUAUUUUAUGGUUUAAUAUAUUUAUAGCUGACCGUUCCUAACGCAAAUGGCAAAAAUUUUUUUUUUCUGAGAGAUAGAUAACACGCUACCCGCUUCGUUUAUUUCACUUAGAAAUAAACUUAGCUGUAAAUAUGAAUCAACUAGAAUUCGAACUUGGAUCUCGGGUACCAAUCACCAAGCCCUUUGCCACUUGUUUUAGGGACGGUCGGUAAGUGGCAGAAAAUUUGAUGAUUGGUAUAAAAGGAUCCAGAUUCGAAUUUUAGUUGAUUCACAUUUUCAACUAAGUUUAUUUCUAAAAAAAAUAAACGAAACAAGAAGCAUGCUACUUCUCUCUUAAGAAAAAAAAAAAAAAAAUUUACU
rnacentral:lncRNA from 1 species